rnacentral:rRNA from 1 species
AGCGAACGCUGGCGGCAGGCUUAACACAUGCAAGUCGAGCGGGCACUUUCGGGUGUCAGCGGCGGACGGGUGAGUAACGCGUGGGAACGUGCCCUCUGGUUCGGAAUAACUCAGGGAAACUUGAGCUAAUACCGGAUACGCCCUUUUGGGGAAAGGCUUGCUGCCGGAGGAUCGGCCCGCGUCUGAUUAGCUAGUUGGUGAGGUAACGGCUCACCAAGGCGACGAUCAGUAGCUGGUCUGAGAGGAUGAUCAGCCACACUGGGACUGAGACACGGCCCAGACUCUUACGGGAGGCAGCAGUGGGGAAUAUUGGACAAUGGGCGCAAGCCUGAUCCAGCCAUGCCGCGUGAGUGAUGAAGGCCUUAGGGUUGUAAAGCUCUUUUAUCCGGGACGAUAAUGACGGUACCGGAGGAAUAAGCCCCGGCUAACUUCGUG